rnacentral:tRNA from 1 species
AUGACUAUGUGUUAAUAGGUAAACGAUUCGUCUUCCAAACGAAGGAUGCCGAUUCGAAUUCGGCUAGUCAUA